GGUGAGUAAUGCGUCGGAACGUACCUAGUCGUGGGGGAUAACGUAGCGAAAGUUACGCUAAUACCGCAUACGUCCUACGGGAGAAAGCAGGGGAUCGCAAGACCUUGCGCGAUUGGAGCGGCCGAUGUCUGAUUAGCUAGUUGGUGGGGUAAAGGCUCACCAAGGCGACGAUCAGUAGCGGGUCUGAGAGGAUGAUCCGCCACACUGGAACUGAGACACGGCCCAGACUCCUACGGGAGGCAGCAGUGGGGAAUUUUGGACAAUGGGGGCAACCCUGAUCCAGCCAUUCCGCGUGAGUGAAGAAGGCCUUCGGGUUGUAAAGCUCUUUCGGCAGGGAAGAAACGGUCCGCUCUAACAUAGCGGGCUACUGACGGUACCUGAAGAAGAAGCACCGGCUAACUACGUGCCAGCAGGCGCGGUAAUACGUAGGGUGCGAGCGUUAAUCGGAAUUACUGGGCGUAAAGCGUGCGCAGGCGGCUUUUUAAGCCAGAUGUGAUAUCCCCGGGCUUAACCUGGGAACUGCAUUUGGCACUGGAAGGCUAGAGUGCGGCAGAGGGGGGUAGAAUUCCACGUGUAGCAGUGAAAUGCGUAGAGAUGUGGAGGAAUACCGGUGGCGAGGGCAGCCCUGUGGGUCGACACUGACGCUCAUGCGCGAAAGCGUGGAGCGCACACAGGUAUUAGAUACUGGUGGUAGUACACGCUCUACGACUGAUGUCUACUAUGUUGUUGGGAGGUAGUGACAUUCUUAUUAGUCACGAAGCUAACGCGUGAUGUUGACCGCCUGGAGUAGUACGGCCGCGAGAUU
rnacentral:rRNA from 1 species